GUCGAGAAUCUUCCGCAAUGCGCGAAAGCGUGACGGAGCGACACCGCGUGAUGGAUGAAGUCCUUCGGGGCGUAAACAUCUUUUAUAAAGGAGGAAAUUUUUGACGUUACUUUAUGAAUAAGGGGCUCCCAAUCUCGUGCCAGCAGGAGCGGUAAUACGAGAGCCUCAAGCGUUAUCCGGAAUCAUUGGGCGUAAAGGGUGCGUAGGUGGUUUGAUUAGUCUCACGUUAAAACUUCGAGCUUAACUCGAAAAGAGCGGGGGAAACGGUCAAACUAGAGUAUGUGAGAGGUGUGUGGAACUCAUGGUGUAGGGGUGAAAUCCGUUGAUAUCAUGGGGAACACCAAAAGCGAAGGCAGCACACUGGCACAUCACUGACACUGAGGCACGAAACCUAAGGUAGCGAAUGGGAUUAGAUACCCUUGUAGUCC
rnacentral:rRNA from 1 species